CAUUUUAAACCACUUAAAACUUUAGCACAAAAUAGAAAAAAACCCCACAGAAUCAGAUACACGUGAUACAAAUACUACAAAAAAAUAAAUCUAUGGAACUUGAAGCUAGACAGCAACAUAAGAAGUUGAUGUUAAUUUCGGUUCAGAGCAUCAAAAUUAGUAAGGUGGAUGCACUGGUGUAUUGAUUUUUCUUUUGUCUCAAGCUAGUUGGCUUUUGCUGCACUUGGCAGCUCCUGAGAGUUGAAAAAUAUUUGGAAAGGAAACACAAAUACUUGACCUAUAUACGGGACAAACAGUCUUGGAGAAGAAAAGGCUGCAAACAAGGAAUGUGAUGCGGGUUGCCAUUACUGAAGAGCACUUGGGCGCCCAGGAUGUUCUGCAGUCAGUGCCAUGCACCGGAGGUGAAAGGAGGGGAAAAAGGGCCCUGAUCAAGUCAACGAUGUCCUCCUGAGAUUAAAUAUUUUCUGAACUAAAAUUUUAUUUCAAGGGAUGGAAAAAUAGCUGAUUUGAACGUUAUAUCAUGAUCUAGAACUAUCAGUACCCUCACCGUUUUCUGUGAUUGCAAGGGAAGAAGGGACAGCGCAGACACCGCAAGUCUCACCCCAGAAGUACUUCAAAGGCAGGGGCCAGAAGAUGGUGCCAGACUCUUUUUGGUGGCUCCAAGCAACAGGAUGAGGAGCAAUGGCCAUGAAGUAAAACACAAGGCGUUUCACCUCAACAGGAGGAAAAGCUUCUUCACACUGAGGAUGGCAGAGAACUGGAACAGCUGCCCAGGGAGUUUGUGGAUUCUUCCUUUCUAGAGACAUUCCAAACCCACCUGGAUGUGUUCCUGUGCUACCUGCUCCAGGUGACCAUGCUUUGGACUGAAUGAUCUCCAGAUGUCCCUUCUAAAAAACUAACAAUUCCAUAAUUCUGUGAAGUACGUAUAAAUAAGGGUUUGAAAAUUAAAAUAAUCAACUCUCCCUUUUCCAAAUUUAUAAUCACAUCUUUUUUUGCUGAUUUCUUCUUCAUGCCACAGGAAAAAGCAUCAAAUUGUAUUGGUUCACAAAGCAGAACACUUCAAACAGCAUCUUACUAUUUUAAAAAAAUAUCUCAUUAUCUUUGAAGAAAUGAGGCAGGCCACUACAGUCCCUUAUUUCCAUGACUUAAAAUAACUUAGGAAAUUUUGCUAAGUGUUUCAUUCAUUGAAUUGUUUUGCUCUGGCUUAGCCUGAAUUUACCUAGUUCUGUGAAAAAGUUUUGAAUUAGCAGAGAAUCCACAAUAACUCUAAUUAUGUUGCUCCACUGACUGGCAAAAAAAAAAAAGAAACUAUACCCUGUUUCUGGUCUUAGUUUUAUUCAUUAUUUGGUAGAUGAAACUGGACUUACUCUGUUUAUGAAAUCCUUUAUCCUUUGUCCUGAGGCUGGAAACAUCCCUUUAGAGUAACAUGACUUUAGAGCCAGAUGGAAAGAGCUUCAUGCUAUGAUCACACAGGAGCUUUGGUGAUGAGCAGCAAAACACAACUAAAGGUCUCCUUCUGCUGGCACACUGCCGAGCCCUCAGACACGAAAUAAAUGUUGUAUGCCUACAAUCUCCUGCACUGAGUUACCAAUCCAACAAUAUCCUGGUCUCCCAGUUCAGCUUGUUCUCUGCUUUUUAUUCCAGCCGUGGUUGCUGAGGUGUCCCCAGGACGGCUUGUGUUAAAGGUCUCACAAAUUGGCUACAGCCUCCCAAAUGGGCGGAUGCUCACAUGCCUCACCCUCUAUUCACCGAAAUGUUUUCCAUGCAAGCAUUCCAGGAAAGCACUUUCCCCAGUUCCCAGCGGAGGGCAGCGAUGAGAACCUAAAAUCCACACAUGGCAAAGGGAGAGCAAAAAAAAGCCAAACCUAAACCCAAGCUUCUGCUUUGAAUUCAGCCCUCCUUCUGAAGCAAACGCAGGCGGACUGAAGCAUCUUCUGUACCUUUGGACUGAUUAAUUCUCCACCCAAAGCGACACAGCCCAACACCACUUAUGUCAGAUAAAAAGACGAGGCUUUAAGGGAAAGAAGAACAUCUGAGGAGGAUCCCCUUUGAAGCUGCAGACCCAGUUCAAAGUCACACGCAUCAAACAGAGCCAUCAAUGCUUUAGACAGAGAAGCCUAAAUGAGUCUUGUUCUUUAAACCACCACGCGCUUGGGAUGUUGAGAGAGCUCUGGGUGAGGUUUUAAUCAGUCAGAACUGAAAAUACAGAAGAGCCUAUGUGAUAUUCACAUUCUUGUUUAAAUGGGCAACAUAGAUGAUGCUCAUUUCAGUUAGUAGGGAUGUAUCCUGACCAAAACAAGCAUGGGGUAAACCCUUUCUUCAAUGAAAGCAGUUAGCAUAGCUCGUGAGGAUAACCUUCACUGCAGGUGGGUUUGUUAGUGUUUAAAAGGACAUGUAGGAGGUUACUUGAGCUAUCUUGUCUAGCAUCAGGUUCUUUGCUCUUUUGUUACAUGGGCUCAGAGUUUAGAUUGAGUCUUUCCAAGGCAGGUUGGCGAACAGGCUGAUUUCUGAGCAUGAAAUCAGGAGGACUUACUGAGAUUCCCAUGCUAAAGCAAACUGCUCACAUUGCAAACCUUUCUUGUUUCACCAGCAUUAUUUUGCAAAUUUUCUGUGAUUUUUUUUCGCGUUUAGACUUAGAACUACCACAAAAAUCACACCCUGGUACUAAAUGGCAGUAAAGUCUAAAAUUUGUAUUUGGACAAGUGCUGAUGAUCCUCUUGUCCUGAAGCAUCCUGUGCAACUAGCAGAGUUGUAGCCACUCACAACCAUUUCAUAGUUAUUAGGCAAAGGUAAAACUCACCUUAUGUAUAAUAAACACAAGUUUAACCUGUUAGUUCAGAUUACUGAAGUAGCUAGUUCCAAAGCCCCAGCCAUACUUUUCAGACCAGAGCUCUGCUGAAGCUUCAAAAUAAAUGUAAGGAUGAUGAUGUCCAUCUUUUAUUAUGGGGUUGGUCCAGCACAGGCUGAGCACCUGCUGGAACACAGCCCUUCUCAAAGCUGGGCAGUGUGACCUGAAACAGAACUGACCAGUGCACAAAGUUUAGAGCUGACUGGGGACAAAAAUGUUUUUAAAAACCUGAUUAAAAAUCCUGACACUUGCCUUAUCCCUCCAAAAAAAGGUGAAAUUCUCACAAGAGAACUCAAAUCCUUCCCAGUUUGUUAGGAACUGGAGUCCAAAGUAGGCCAACAUGGCUGCAGAAGGAGUCCCUUUGCAGCCUCGUGCUAUUAUACUGCCAGUGAGUAUUUUCCCCAAAUAUGUUUGUCACUCUUUCAAAGUUAGUAUUGGACACAAAAAUAUAACCUUGUUUGUUUGUUUGUUUUCAGUUAUAAUUUUGGUAAUGAAAGCAUGGAGCAUAUUUUUCAAAACCAGAUUGAUUUAGCAGGGACUGUAAACCAUCAAGCUGAAACACUUCAAUAUCUUCUUUCUUGUCACAGCUUUUUACAGCCCACGUCUAAAACUAAAAUAAAAUUACUUAUUUGAGGGAUCAGCAUUUACAAGAACAAAUGCCACACUCAUAUUGGACUUUUCACCCCUAAAUAAUGCAAAUUCUAUUUCUGUUCCCCCCAGAUUAACUGAGGUAUGCAAUUCCCAUUUCCUUUCUUCUAGCCUUUUUCAAAGGCAGAGCUGCAACACCAAAUCACACACCAAGAGUGAAUAAUCCUUAAAUUCUCACUUCAGAAUUCAUAGGUAUACCAACCACAUAAUUUUAAUUUAGUUGUUAGUAUAUACAUUAACACUCAAAAGUGUGAUAAAAACCAAAGUAGUUUUUUUAAUAAACAGCAUGAUACAGACCGCAAAGAUAAAUAAAAAGCAGACUUUUUACAGUUUCCCAUGAACAUGAACUACAAUAAGUAUCAUAGGCCAAACUUUUGUUACUUGAGUAGCAGAGCAGAAGGGUUAAAAAAGGGGGUGUGGUAUUUUUUAUUUAAAGUACUGCAAGACUAUUCUCAGUAUGACAGCACAUGCAUCUUGCUGCAUCUUAAAUACUUUUUGGCCCAUUAUUACUAAAAAUGUCUUGCUUUCUACCUGCUUUACCACAGACCUUUAUCACAGAAUGACACACAUGGCAACAUCCCCCCAUGCCCCAGUAGUGGUUAUUUCAAAGGUAAUUGUCUCAUUUUUAAAAGAUAAUUGAAGCACUGGUGGGGGUUUUUACUUUCCCUUUGAUGCAGACAGGUAACUGCUCCCAGCUUCAAUGAAGUUACACAGAAGCAUGGAGAGCUGACACCCUCCUGGGCUCUGUUUUUACCCAAAAUGCCAACAGGAUGCUGGGCUGGCUCAGGAGGAGCAGGUCGAGGGAGGUGAGCCCUCCCCCUGCCCCUCUGCUCAGCACUGAUGGGGCCACACCUGGAGCUCCCAGUACGAACCUGGAUGUGCUGGAAUGGGUCCACGGAGGGGAUGGACAGGAGAGGAGGCUGAGGGGGCAGGGACUGGGGUCCUGUCAAAGAGAAAGCCCAGGGGACAUCUGGUCAAAGACUUGACAGGGAGGAAUAAAGACAGGCAAGGCUUUUCUCAGUGCCCACUGAAAGGGCAACAGGCAAUGAAAUAGAAGAUAUUUCAUAUAAACAUUAUGAAAAAAAAAAUUGACUGUGGGUUCCUCUUUCUCAGACAGACUCUAAACCCAGCUAGGCCAUGCCCUGGGCAUCCUGUUCUAUUGCUGACCCUGUUUUGAACAGGGUGUCUGGGCUAAAUGUACUCCCAAGGUCUUUGCCAACCUCAAUGGUUCUGUGAAAUCUCUGCAGUUGUGUUGUUAUUUACAAUGAGAACAAUACUCACAACAUUUCAAACCUAAGAAUCCAGAACCUCAGACUGCAGCCAAAUAUAUUUAAAGCCCUUUUCUCCACCAGGGAAGUAGAUUUUCAUAGUGUAGUGGAUAUUCACAGUUAAAAUUUUAUGAGGUGCAAAGAGAAAGGAUGAUACUCCUAGAUAAUGAAUUCCACAUUUUUCUUCACAUGAGAAAUGAAGAAUUUGGACCACAGCUGCUAUAAGACAAGAAGAUUAAUCUAUUCCUUUUCAUUCCCCAGCCCCAAGUGAAACAGUAAGACAGUUUUGGACAGCCUGGGGCAGCUGAUAAUUCAGGAUAUAGAACAUUAUUAAUAAAGCCUGAAAAUAGAUUAAAAAUAGUUAAAGAAACAAGGCAGAAUGAGAUUGCAACUAUGAAUAUCCAUAUUUUGGCUCACAAUAAUUGACUAAACUACAACAGACAAAGAUUCUUGAAAAAAACCAGCUUAUGCCUGAAUUAGGCUUUCAGUAACUUCAGCAAUACAAUUAAGUCAGGUUUAGUUGAGAUAAAUUUUAUGACUGGAACAGGAGCCUAACAAAAUAAAUGCAGUUACACUGAACUGAAUGGCCCCUGAAGCAGUUGAAUAACUCCUGGGAAUCAGGCACCAGAAUUCAAAAAGAUCAAGAGAGAAUAGUGUAUUUUUUGCCUUCCUUCUGCUGCAGCAAUAUUGCAUCACAUACAGGAGUGACAGUAAGGACACUUAAAACACACAUACACAAACCAGUGGGGACACUAACUUCAAAGGACAGGCAGAACUGUGCUUCAACUGAUCUUCUCUUAGAAAUAUUUUAUGAUGUUCUUAUGCUCUGGGCAUGUCCCAGAGGGGUGUUGGAGAGAGAAGGGACAGAGGGAUUCACCUCUGGCUUUGAGUCAGGAGCACUAACUCAGACUUUGCAGAGUCUACCCCAUAAAGCUCAGAUGUCCAGAACACUGUAUGGCAAAUGAAGAACAAUGAUUUUUUUUCCUGAGUGUGGGUUCAACAAGUCUGUAUGCUACAAAAGAGUAAGAAGAGGAAACAUUUAAACUAGCAAGGAACAAAAAUAUUGAAGUGUCAAGAAUGGAACAAACUGUAGACAAGAUCACUCUACUUUUGGAGAGCUGAAAAGGCUAUUUUGUUAAUAAAGACUAUUUCAAAGUAAAAUUAUCAAGUGUUUAACUGGGCUGCUACUAAACAUUCCUCUCCUUAUGAGAACCUUUCAUACUGAAUCAUAGGAACAAAUAAUCUUAAACUCUGAUACACAUACAGCCUAAUUCUGAUUUCAUAUGCUGUUGUGAAUCCAGAGCAAUUCUGAUGAAGUGAGUGUUGUAUCAGCAUAAAGUGAAAUCAGAAUUCCUCAAAGAGAAGAGCACCUAUGGGCUUGGUUAGUAUAUGCAAAUAGAGAACUUCUAUAGCCAGUUUCCAGUUGGGUUCCCUUCAUUAACACAGAUGUAAAAAAAAGUAAAACCAAACAAAGAAGAACCCCGAACCAACACCAGCUGCAGGGGUGGUGAGCUACACAACAUUUUGGACAGACAGAGCCUUACCUAAACUGAGACAACUUCCAGCACAAAAUAAAAAGAUGCAAAUUCAUUAUUUGUAUGAAACAUGUAUUGCAAAAUUAAAUCGGGAUUCAACAAUCUGCAACAACAUCCACAGCUAUAUAGUGUUUUUAAAAAAACAAGUGUGGUUCUUCCAUUCAAGUAAAACUAGAACAAGUGAAAGAAGUUAAAAAAAAUCCUAGAAGCAGCAAGUUACAAUUCUUUCUGUAAUACCACACCAUUUUCAUUAACUUGAAGUAUUUUCAAGAUGUCAGAGACAUCAACAAAAAUAAUAAUUUCAAGUGGCUUUUCUGAUAUUUGUUUUUUGAAUGGGUCCAGCCCAGGUCUGCAACCUGUACAGACAUGCAAAACAGGAGGAAUUCAUAAUUACUAUUAAGAACAGACAUUUGAACAUGCCAGUUAUAUAAUGACAAAGCAAAGACAAUACCUUCAAAUUGUCAACAAACAUGGGCUACUGACCACUAAAGGGCAUUUAAUACUUUACAGAAAAAGGAAAGUUGGCAUAAAAACCCACAAACAACUCGCCAAACCACCACCAGCAGGGUCAUCACGUACAAAGUUCUUAUAAACCUGGUAAUUUCUAUAUUGUCCUCAAUAUGCAGGCUCCUAUCUUUUCCACAAGAUGCCAAAUCACCUACAAUUUUGGUUUUAUUUAAAAACCUUUAAAAAAAAUUCAAAUUAUACUGGAAGUCUGUUUCAACUAUAAAAAAACUACCAGUGCACCCUUUCAGACAAAGAAGUAUGAAUAUAUAAAUCAGUACAGGUAAUUCUGCUACAUUUAGGAAAGCAAUGAAUGUAAUUCUAAGUAAAAUUAAUAUGCAGCAGCCUGUUCUGUCAUUAUAUUAAACACAGUUUCACAGCUGAAAAAGUGACUGGUUUUAAAUUUUAUUUCACUAAAACACCAUUUCCUAAUGCUUUCUGAUAAAACACAUGGCCCAGUCUUGGACUCCUUGCUCUGGCAGUCUUAAAAGGAAGUUCUGCAGAAGCAAGGUGCCCAGAUUCACUUCAAGGCCAAAAUAAACUACUUUAGUAUUUUGUGCAUCUGAUUCCCAGAACAAAGGGAGCAUUUUCAAAUCUCCAUGAAGUGGGAAUAAUUAAAAAUAAGCUGAAUUCCAAGCUAUUUCUGUAAAAAUCUAGGACUCAGUUACAAGUGCUUUCAUGGUGUGUAAGCAGGUCUUCUUUCUGAUACUGGGAGCAGAUGACAUCCUCUCAUUUCGAUCAGGGUAAGCAAACAGUGCCUCCUCUAUCCUCAGUGAAGUUACAUCAGCAUGGAGCUGCUGUGGCAGGAUGCAGUAAUUAGGGUUCAACACUUUGAAGUUGAGAAAAGGAUUGCUCUGUUCUGUGAAACACUGGCAGGAUGUUUUUCAAAUGCCCAUCCUGGUUAUGCAAAGAACUGGGUAAAGCCCAGGACCUUCUACUUUUUUUAAAAAAAUUGUUGAAAGGCUAAAAUUACCCCCAACUGUAUUAUGUCUGUACCACUCUGAGGUUUCCUUUCUUUUACUGUUUGAUUCUCAUCAUAACUUCCACAGCUUAUGCACAACAUUUAAUUGCAGUAACUUCUGGAAACAGAGCCUGACUCCUCAUACCUCUGGGCAAAAAGGGUGCAAAAUACUGUGCUUGAACUGAAAGACAUUUAUACUCCUAUUUACAGAAGGGCUAGGAAGGAGCAAAGUACAAACAAAUCUGGCCUCAUAACAUCCAAUAAAUUUGAGUUGAUCUUUUCACCCAGGCUGGAAAAGGCUGACCAUUUCUUGCAUAAACGAGGUAAAGCAUUGUUUCAACACCAGAUAAAAACGGAUAAUAUAGCACCUAAUGUGAUGUCUGUGCAACACUUUUACUCAGUUAAAUUAAGGAUUAUAGCCAACAGGGUUUCAGAUUUGGUGAACUAAACUUAAACUGAAACUAACCCAUUUUAAGAGCUAAACCAUUAUUGUGUGUGGACUGCAAAGUAAUAGAUACAAGAGUAACUUUGCUCUAGAAAGUACAAACAAGCUUAGCAGGAGUUAAAAUAUUCAUAUGAACAAAAAGGAGUAUGUAA